rnacentral:lncRNA from 1 species
GUAGAAUCAUAACCCCAUAGUCCAGGCCAGAAAGGGCUUUUAUCUAAUCUUGAGCCUUUUCUUAAUCACAUUUUACAGUGACUAAGUGUCCUACUCCGACACAUCGAAACAAACAUUCUGUUCUCUGCUGCUUGUCCAGCAGAGUGACUUUGGCAUGUAUUAAGUUGGGCUAGCCAAGUCCAAGUUCAGGAAAGCUUAUGUGUGACUACUCAGUAUGCAAAUAGCAGACUGGACUUCUGAAAUGUUAUUUUGAUAAUAGGAACGAAAAUGACUGAAUUGGUAUGCUGAUGAUAAAUCAGGAAACUGAUAAUAAUGAGGGAACGCACAUCCACUUUUGAGAAUAUUUAUGUUCAUCCACAAUGCUUCAUCAUUUCAUCUAAACUUGUCAUUGAUUGAAUUAGUAUCAGUUAAAAGGAUUGUGAGGCUAUGCCAGUACCUGGCAAAUACAGAAGUGGAUGCUCACAGUCAUCUAUUGGAUAGAAAACAGGGCCCCUAAUGAAGGAGCUAGAGAAAGUACCCAAGGAGCUAAAGGGGUCUGCAACCCUAUAGGAGGAACAACAAUAUGAACUAACCAGGACCCCUGUCCCCCCCUGCGCCCUUUGCCCCCCAGAACUGUGUCUCUAGUUACAUAUGUAGCAGAGGAUGGCCUAGUUGGCCAUCAAUGGGAGGAGAUGCCCUUGGUCUUGCGAAAGAUCUCAUGCCCCAGUACAGGGGAAUGCCAGGGCCAGGAAGAGGGAGUGGGUGGGUUGGGGAGCAGGGCAGGGGGAGGGUAUAGGGAGGUUUAGGGCUAGCAUUUGAAAUGUGAAUGAAGAAAAUAUCUAAUAAAAAAAAGGAUCAGGUUAGGUUAGGCUAGAAUUAUUUAAGCACCACUUUAAUAAUAACAGUUUUCAUUUCAUUAUGUUAUUUCAGCCAAAUAAAGUGUUUUCAGAAAAGUUUUCUAUUGUAAAGUAAUACAGUACUUUGGUCUUAGCAUAUUUGGUGUUGGUUUGUAUUAUUUGGAUGUAGUUUGGCAAGUAUUCGACACUUAAAAGAAUUAUCAUUUGGGCAUACUUGUAAUCUCUUUAAAUACUGUGCCACUAAACAUAAUUUGAACACCCCAGAAGUUUCACAUGAACAGGCAAGAGAACUUCACAUAAUUCCACAGAGGCGUGUAAGAAAGCAAUAGCACACUCAGACACAUGGAGACUAUUUUCCAACUCAGUCGGGGCACAGAAAAGAGUGGGAAUCAUUGGAACAUAAAUUUGCUUGGGUCUCUAUAGUUAUGAACCUUAGGAAGCUGUCUGUACUGCUCCCUGGGGCCCGCUCUCACCUAAGACCAUUAGGCAGUGCAGUUUAUGAACUACAGAAAUGAAUUUCCCACAGUUCUCUGGGCUGGGGAGUCUAAGGUCAGGGUGCUAGAAGAUUAAGUAUCUCUUGAUGGCCUAUUUCCUACAGGACUGCCUUUCUGUGGAAGCCUUCUGCAGCAGAAAGGGCAAGGGGGUGUCUCUUAGGCCUUUAAUGUACGAGCACUAAUCCAUAAACAUAAAACAGUUUGUGAACUCACCACCUUCCAGAGGUUGAGGGGUUAGAUUUUAACAUAUGAAUGUGGAGAGGCAUAAACAUUCAAGUCCUAGUACUUUCCUUCUAACACUGCCAAGUGCAACACUGUCCAAUUUAACCAUUGGCAUCUAGAUUUCAGAAUAGUCACUGGCUGCUAACUUGAUUCAUAUCAGCAGUUUUGGUAUUCUGCAACAAUCAUUACCUUGAUUGGGACACAUACAUAUUUUACUCAGAAUGUAUUACUAAAGACAUAAAUCAACCACAAACAAACAAACAAACAAACACAGAUAAUCCUGAAAGCCAGAAAAGGAGAAGUUGCAGGCAGAGCCUGAACACUGUGGUUUGAUGUCACAACCACAAAGGGAGACAUAGGUCCCUUUUUUCGGGUCUCUCAUGGCACAAGGCUUAGUGCUCAACUGGGUUGGAAAUCCUGAACUGAAAAUCUUGCAUAGAUUCAUACCCACAAGAAGGUCACUUAGUUCGAGAAGCAACAAGUUCAUUGCACCGAGAGACUGGAAAAGAUGUCAAAGCACAGGUACUUGCGCAUCUGAAUGCAACAGAGAAGAUAACAGAGGGAUCAGACCAGUGCCCAUGACAAGGUCAGACCUAGCCCAAGCACUAUGAAGACAGAAUAUACAUGCUCUGUGCCCAUGUGUCCUUCAAAGCUUCAUAGAUAGAAACUGAUGGAAAUCCACAAAAAGUAAAAAGGCAUCUUUGAUGCAGAGCAUAAAGGACCACUUUAGAAGAAAACCCAAACAAAAAUUUUCAUUUUACAAUGAAACAGAUAAAUGAUUCAUGUGCCAGAUGAGACCCAGAAUAACAAAGAACAAGCAAGCUACAGAAAGAAAGAAAGAAAGAAAGAAAG